GAUGAAGAACGGAGCGAAAUGCGAUAAGUAGUGUGAAUUGCAGAAUUCAGUGAAUCAUCGAAUCUUUGAACGCACAUUGCGCCCCUUGGUAUUCCAUGGGGCAUGCCUGUUCGAGCGUCAUUUGUACCUUCAAGCUCUGCUUGGUGUUGGGUGAUUGUCUAUCUUUAUAGACUCGCCUUAAAGUCAUUGGCAGCCGGCAUAUUGGCCUGGGAGCGCAGCACAAGUCGCGCUUCUUGUCAUGAAUGUUGGCGUCCAGUAAGUCUACAUAUUUUGCUCUUGACCUCGGAUCAGGUAGGGAUACCCGCUGAACUUAAGCAUAUCAUAAGCGGAGGA
rnacentral:misc_RNA from 1 species